CCUACGGGAGGCAGCAGUGGGGAAUAUUGGACAAUGGGCGAAAGCCUGAUCCAGCAAUUCCGCGUGUGUGAAGAAGGCCUUCGGGUUGUAAAGCACUUUAGUGGGGGAAGAAACAGCUUGGCCACACCAAGCCUUGACGGUACCCCAAGAAUAAGCACCGGCUAACUCUGUGCCAGCAGCCGCGGUAAUACAGAGGGUGCAAGCGUUAAUCGGAUUUACUGGGCGUAAAGGGUGCGUAGGUGGCUAUUUAAGUCGGAUGUGAAAGCCCGGGGCUCAACCUCGGAAUUGCAUUCGAUACUGAGUGGCUAGAGUUCGGUAGAGGGCGGCGGAAUUUCCGGUGUAGCGGUGAAAUGCGUAGAUAUCGGAAGGAACAUCAAUGGCGAAGGCAGCCGCCUGGGCCUGGACUGACACUGAGGCACGAAAGCGUGGGUAGCAAACAGGAUUAGAUACCCUGGUAGUCCACGCCGUAAACGAUGAGAACUUGACGUUGGUUCGUUUUACGAAUCGGUGUCGCNGCUACGCGAUAGUUACGUCCGCCGUCGGGAGGUACGGCCGGCGAGGUUAGUAACGUAACGUAAGUAGUUAAGUUAGUACGGUUCGUUGAGACGUUGCCGACGGACGACGACGAGGGAGGAGG
rnacentral:rRNA from 1 species